rnacentral:rRNA from 1 species
UACGAAGGGGGCUAGCGUUGCUCGGAAUCACUGGGCGUAAAGCGCACGUAGGCGGAUUGCUAAGUCAGGGGUGAAUCUCGGAGCUCAACUCCAGAACUGCCUUUGAUACUGGCGAUCUUGAGUCCGGGAGAGGUGAGUGGAACUGCGAGUGUAGAGGUGAAAAUGCGUAGAUAUCCGGAGGAACACCAGUGGCGAAAGCGGCCACCUGGACUGGCACCUGACGCUGACACGCGAAAGCUAGGGGAGCGAACGGG